rnacentral:lncRNA from 1 species
CAGCUAGCUAGCUAGCUAGAUAUACAUACAUACAUACAUACAUAGACUACACACACAAAAAAUAGCUUCUGAAAUGCAAUCUGUAUUCAAUUAUUCUGUCCAUUUGAUUUUUGUAACUUAGAACCACAUGGGAGAAAAUACUGAAAUGAGAAGUAUCAUGGAGUAAUGGAGAAAGAGGUGAUUUGUAGUUAUAUAGACACCAAUGCCUGUCUCAAACCCAUUUCUGCUCUUUUCCAACUGUGUGACCACUUAAGGCACUGAUUCCCACUUCACUAAUGUGAGAAAUAAAAAAGAAACAUAUAAAAGUAAGAACACUUAGCAUUAGGAUUUAGACAUUCAAUUUUAGGUCUUCUUUUCUAAUUAUAGUGUUUUUAUUUUUCAAUCAAUAAUAUGAGCAGUUGAAGUUUUCUCUACUCUAACCCACACCCACAUAAAUAAUCUAAGAUAUGGUAAGAGGAUUGAAGACAUAAGGAAAGAGAUUUAAUAAAGAAUUUUUGAUAUUGGAUAGUUGACAACUUUCAAGUAGCACUUCCCCCUUCACUUCUGUCCCACAUCUGGACAAACUGGAUAAAAAGUUAUUGGUGCUCCCUUCUUUGGCAAUAUAGAGAAGCUCAAACCAUGUAAACUCAGUCAUGUUUGUGGGAACCCUCACCUAACCAUGAUACAACCCUAAGCUAUUGCCCCUUUUUAUUUUCUUUCUCUUUCAAGCCAUUUUGGGACCAGCCUGAGAGCAUACUCUGCUCUACCCAGAAAGCUCAGUGUGGUACCAGGAAUAAUGUGGGAGGCUGGAUUGAAGUCUGGGCCAGGAACAACGGUAAUUGUGGGAGACUCAACAAAGAGUGAGUAUAGCUGAAGGAGCCGGGAAGCAGAAAGUAUAUGCGUCAGUUACUUCAGGCCAUCUGGG